GAUGAACGCUAGCGGCAGGCCUAAUACAUGCAAGUCGAGGGGUAUAGCGGUGCUUGCACUGCUAGAGACCGGCGCACGGGUGCGUAACGCGUAUGCAACCUACCUUGAUCAGGGGGAUAGCCCGGAGAAAUCCGGAUUAACACCGCAUGAAGACAUAGAACCGCAUGGUUCAAUGUCCCAACAUUUAUGGGAUCAAGAUGGGCAUGCGUGCCAUUAGCUAGUUGGCGGGGUAACGGCCCACCAAGGCGACGAUGGCUAGGGGAUCUGAGAGGAUGGCCCCCCACACUGGUACUGAGACACGGACCAGACUCCUACGGGAGGCAGCAGUAAGGAAUAUUGGUCAAUGGGCGCAAGCCUGAACCAGCCAUGCCGCGUGCAGGAAGACGGCCCUCCGGGUUGUAAACUGCUUUUAUACCGGAAUAAACCUCCCUACGUGUAGGGAGCUGAAUGUACGGUAGGAAUAAGGAUCGGCUAACUCCGUGCCAGCAGCCGCAGUAAGAC
rnacentral:rRNA from 1 species